rnacentral:rRNA from 1 species
GAAGAGCCCAAACCAACAAGCUUGCUUGUUGGGGUUGUAGGACACUCUAUACGGAGUUACAAAGGACGACAUUAGACGAAUCAUCUGGAAAGAUGAAUCAAAGAAGGUAAUAAUCCUGUAGUCGAAAAUGUUGUCUCUCUUGAGUGGAUCCUGAGUACGACGGAGCACGUGAAAUUCCGUCGGAAUCUGGGAGGACCAUCUCCUAAGGCUAAAUACUCUCUAGUGACCGAUAGUGAACCAGUACCGUGAGGGAAAGGUGAAAAGCACCCCGGAAGGGGAGUGAAAUAGAACCUGAAACCGUGUGCUUACAAGUAGUCAGAGCCCGUUAAUGGGUGAUGGCGUGCCUUUUGUAGAAUGAACCGGCGAGUUACGAUUUGAUGCAAGGUUAAGCAGUAAAUGUGGAGCCGUAGCGAAAGCGAGUCUGAAUAGGGCGUUUAGUAUUUGGUCGUAGACCCGAAACCAGGUGAUCUACCCUUGGUCAGGUUGAAGUUCAGGUAACACUGAAUGGAGGACCGAACCGACUUACGUUGAAAAGUGAGCGGAUGAACUGAGGGUAGCGGAGAAAUUCCAAUCGAACCUGGAGAUAGCUGGUUCUCUCCGAAAUAGCUUUAGGGCUAGCCUCAAGUGAUGAUUAUUGGAGGUAGAGCACUGUUUGGACGAGGGGCCCCUCUCGGGUUACCGAAUUCAGACAAACUCCGAAUGCCAAUUAAUUUAACUUGGGAGUCAGAACAUGGGUGAUAAGGUCCGUGUUCGAAAGGGAAACAGCCCAGACCACCAGCUAAGGUCCCAAAAUAUAUGUUAAGUGGAAAAGGAUGUGGCGUUGCCCAGACAACUAGGAUGUUGGCUUAGAAGCAGCCAUCAUUUAAAGAGUGCGUAAUAGCUCACUAGUCGAGUGACACUGCGCCGAAAAUGUACCGGGGCUAAACAUAUUACCGAAGCUGUGGAUUGUCCUUUGGACAAUGGUAGGAGAGCGUUCUAAGGGCGUUGAAGCAUGAUCGUAAGGACAUGUGGAGCGCUUAGAAGUGAGAAUGCCGGUGUGAGUAGCGAAAGACGGGUGAGAAUCCCGUCCACCGAUUGACUAAGGUUUCCAGAGGAAGGCUCGUCCGCUCUGGGUUAGUCGGGUCCUAAGCUGAGGCCGACAGGCGUAGGCGAUGGAUAACAGGUUGAUAUUCCUGUACCACCUAUAAUCGUUUUAAUCGAUGGGGGGACGCAGUAGGAUAGGCGAAGCGUGCGAUUGGAUUGCACGUCUAAGCAGUAAGGCUGAGUAUUAGGCAAAUCCGGUACUCGUUAAGGC